UCCUACGGGGGGCUGCAGUCGAGAAUCUUCGGCAAUGGGCGCAAGCCUGACCGAGCGACGUCGCGUGGAGGACGAAGGCCUUCGGGUUGUAAACUCCUGUCGAGGGGGAGAAAGGUCCCGCGAGGGGCUUGAUCGAUCCCUGGAGGAAGCACGGGCUAAGUUCGUGCCAGCAGCCGCGGUAAGACGAACCGUGCGAACGUUAUUCGGAAUCACUGGGCUUAAAGCGCGUGUAGGCGGAUUGGUGCGUCGGCGCCUGAAAUCCCCCGGCUCAACCGGGGAACGCGGCCCGAAACGACCAGUCUGGAGGGACGUAGGGGGGACUGGAACUUCCGGUGGAGCGGUGAAAUGCGUUGAGAUCGGAAGGAACGCCCGUGGCGAAAGCGAGUCCCUGGACGUCUACUGACGCUGAGACGCGAAAGCUAGGGGAGCGAACGGGAUUAGAUACCCGAGUAGUCU
rnacentral:rRNA from 1 species